GUAGCAAAGUAGCAAGGCAAAGAAAAUAGAUAGACGAUCAAAAGGACUGCUAGUCAAUCACAGACCAUGCACAAAGAAAAAGGUGCCAGUAGGGUUACCCCAAGCGGGAUGUGCUCUGAACCAAGGUAUUAAGAAAAUCCUCAAGGAGUCCCAACAGCAAUAAGGCAAUCUGGAAGAAAAGGGCACACAACUGAAAGCACAAUGCUGAAAUAGAAAUGUCUGGCAACUGAAGUAGUGCGAGACGAACAUUACCUAUAUACCUUAUUUACACUG